rnacentral:rRNA from 1 species
UACAGAGGUCUCAAGCGUUGUUCGGAUUCAUUGGGCGUAAAGGGCGCGUAGGCGGCGGGGUAAGUCGGGUGUGAAAUCUCAGAGCUCAACUCUGAAACUGCACUCGAUACUGCUCUGCUUGAGGACUGGAGAGGAGACUGGAAUUCACGGUGUAGCAGUGAAAUGCGCAGAUAUCAGGAGGAACACCAAUAGCGAAGGCAGCUCGCUGGGACGGUACUGACGCUAAGGCGCGAAAGCGUGGGGAGCGAACAGG